UCAUGUAGCGCCAGCCACACCAGGAACAGAAGGGUGCCGGGUACCUUCCGCAUGCUUGGUAUUCUCCCCGCGGGGCUCUGACCGCUGCCGCUCUCAGGCACCUGUCUUUCCUCUCCGUCCCAGAAUGGAGCCAAGACAAGGGAAUAAACGAAAUUCAAUAGUACACGGAGAUCGGGUGUCUGGGCAGCGUCUUGGAAAAACUAUCCACUACAGUACAGGUCAAGUGAAGUUCUUCUGCUGAUAUGUUCUGCUACUGCAUAAGAGACGGAAUCUAUGUUGCCUCGACUGGUCCUGAACUCCUGGGCUAAAGCGAUCCUUCUGCCUUGGCCUCCCAAAGUGCGAGGAUUAUAGGUCUUUUUUCCCCCCUCUGCUCCCACACCACAGCAAUCAACAACACAGAAGACAACUUCUGCAACCCUAUCGGGAGAGGAGGGGUUCUCUCCACCACCAGUCCCCUGGAAGAAUUCUCAAAACACAGAAUGCUUGCCAAGUCAAUCCUAAGCCAAAAGAACAAAGCUGGAGGCAUCACACUACCUGACUUCAAACUAUACUACAAGGAUG
rnacentral:lncRNA from 1 species